rnacentral:pre_miRNA from 1 species
AAUAGAAAUGCUAGGUCAUAUGUUGAUUCAGUUUAUCUUUUUGAGACACGACCAGACUGUUUUCCAAAGUAGCUAUACUAUUUUAGAUUCCUACUAGCAAU